UACGUAGGGACCGAGCGUUGUCCGGAAUCAUUGGGCGUAAAGCGCGUGUAGGCGGUUCGGUAAGUCGGCUGUGAAAGUCCAGGGCUCAACCCUGGGAUGCCGGUCGAUACUGCCGGACUAGAGUUCGGAAGAGGCGAGUGGAAUUCCCGGUGUAGCGGUGAAAUGCGCAGAUAUCGGGAGGAACACCAAUGGCGAAGGCAGCUCGCUGGGACGUUACUGACGCUGAGACGCGAAAGCGUGGGGAGCAAACAGG
rnacentral:rRNA from 1 species